rnacentral:rRNA from 1 species
ACGACUGCUAAGACUGGAUAGGAGACAAGAAGGCAUCUUCUUGUUUUUAAAAGACCUAGCAAUAGGUAUGCUUAGGGAGGAGCUUGCGUCACAUUAGUUAGUUGGUGGGGUAAAGGCCUACCAAGACUAUGAUGUGUAGCCGGGCUGAGAGGUUGAACGGCCACAUUGGGACUGAGACACGGCCCAAACUCCUACGGGAGGCAGCAGUAGGGAAUUUUCGGCAAUGGAGGAAACUCUGACCGAGCAACGCCGCGUGAACGAUGAAGUAUUUCGGUACGUAAAGUUCUUUUAUUAGGGAAGAAUAAAUGAUGGAAAAAUCAUUCCGACGGUACCUAAUGAAUAAGCCCCGGCUAACUAUGUGCCAGCAGCCGCGGUAAUACAUAGGGGGCAAGCGUUAUCCGGAAUUAUUGGGCGUAAAGGGUGCGUAGGCGGUUAAAUAAGUUUAUGGUCUAAGUGCAAUGCUCAACAUUGUGAUGCUAUAAAAACUGUUUAGCUAGAGUAAGAUAGAGGCAAGUGGAAUUCCAUGUGUUGUGGUAAAAUGCGUAAAUAUAUGAAGGAACACCAGUAGCGAAGGCGGCUUGCUGGGUCUUUACUGACGCUGAGGCACGAAAGCGUGGGGAGCAAACAGGAUUAGAUACCCUGGUAGUCCACGCCGUAAACGAUGAGUACUAAACGUUGGGUAAAACCAGUGUUGAAGUUAACACAUUAAGUACUCCGCCUGAGUAGUACGUACGCAAGUAUGAAACUUAAAGGAAUUGACGGGACUCCGCACAAGCGGUGGAUCAUGUUGUUUAAUUCGAAGGUACCCGAAAAACCUCACCAGGUCUUGACAUGCUUCUGCAAAGCUGUAGAAACACAGUGGAGGUUAUCAGUUGCACAGGUGGUGCAUGGUUGUCGUCAGCUCGUGUCGUGAGAUGUUGGGUUAAGUCCCGCAACGAGCGCAACCCUUAUUGCUAGUUACCAGCACGUAAUGGUGGGGACUUUAGCAAGACUGCCAGUGAUAAAUUGGAGGAAGGUGGGGACGACGUAAAAUCAUCAUGCCCCUUAUGACCUGGGCUACAAACGUGAUACAAUGGCUGUUACAAAGGGUAGCUGAAGCGCAAGUUUUUGGCGAAUCUCAAAAAAACAGUCUCAGUUCGGAUUGAAGUCUGCAACUCGACUUCAUGAAGUUGGAAUCGCUAGUAAUCGCGAAUCAGCAUGUCGCGGUGAAUACGUUCUCGGGGUUUGUACACACCGCCCGUCA